rnacentral:rRNA from 1 species
CAUCUCGUAUUUGCUCGCCAAAAGUAUAGGCAUAAAGCCAAAAACUUUAAGGACCUGGCGGUACUCAACACCAACCUAGAGGGGCCUGUCUAAUAAUCGAUAACCCACGAAAAACCUAACCUCUUCUGGCCAUACAGUCUAUAUACCGCCAUCUUCAGCAAACA